GAGCGGCCGGGGGCGCGCGGGGCACGCCGGGACGUGUAGUUCGGGCAGGCCGCGCCCAUGGCGGACCGGGACGGGACCGGCGGCGGCGGCGGCCCGGGGGGUGCGGCUGCCUCUCCUUCCACCCCCGCCCGCGACCCUCCCGCCGCCCCCGCAGCUCCCGCAGCUCCCGCUGCCCGCCAGCAGGCGGCGGAGCCGGACGCCGAAUCUCCGGUCUCGGACCCCGAGCCGGGCGCCUCGGCCGACGCUGACAUGGAGCUGCUGCGGACGCUCCUGUCCCGGACCCUGGGGCUCGGUGGGGACAAACCGGAGCCGGUGCUGGACGAGCUGAGCCUGCCGGGCGUGAGCCGGUUCCUGAGGAGUGACCGCUGUAGGGACACCGGGAUCGGGAAUGGGAAUGGGAAUGGGGCUGGGAAUGGGGCGUGAGCCGGUUCCUGAGGAGCGACCGCUGUAGGGACACCGGGAUCGGGAAUUGGGGUGGGAAUGGGGAGCGGGCCGGUUCCCGAAGGACGA
rnacentral:lncRNA from 1 species